UCGCGACGACCCUCACCUGAGGGCCACAGGGCGGCGGGGCUCGGGGCUUCGCCCGCGGGGCGGGGGCGGUAGCCGGUCGGGGCUUCCCCGGCGCCGGGCGCUGCCUGCGGGGGCAGUGCCUGGGGAGCCUCCGCCGAGGCGGCGCGGGUGCGCGGCCCGCCCUGGUGGUCCGGGGGUGAGGGGGCUGCGCUGCCCUUCGGCUGAGGCGGGACUGUGAGGCGGGGCGUUGGCCACGGCCCCGGCCCAAAGCCUGGGUCUUGCUCUGGGAAAUAGUGUAAACGCAUACUGGCUGAAUUUGCACAAGGUUGUCCUCUGCGAUUCUUGUCACCGCAGUGGCACAGUUGCUCACCUAGGGUCUUCAAGUGGGAGGAUCGUCUGAGAAGUGCCAGUCUGGCGAAGAACUUGACACGGAUGAAGAUGGACGGAUGCCACUAAAUGGAUGCUGCAUAACUGGCUAGGAAGGAAAGGGGGCUGGAACAGUUUAUGAAAAUGGAAUCACACCCACGCACCUGAGAUGUUUGGCACAACUGCUUCACAGCCAGAACACGCUGCUCUGGAUACCAGCAAGCAGGUUUUCUAUACUUUCAAUUCCCUGGACAAACCCCCUGCCCUUUCCGCCCGUGUAACCCCGCUGGCUGCAGCUGACCUGGGCAGGGAGGCACCAAGCGGGAUGUGGCUCGGCCUUUAGUACGGCUGUAGGUAGUUCCAUAGAAACGUCUUCGCUGCUCUUACUUAACAGAGGGUUGGAAUUUCUUGAGAACACACAAUGCAUGCUACUUGCUAGAUUGUCCAUAAAGUACAUUCUGACACAUUUUAUCCAAGUAUUUGUAUCUAUCAGAAAAAGACUCUUGUAGAAGCCAUGUACAAAGCCUCCAAAAAUUCAAGUAUCAAAAAAAAGGUGUUCUGAUAAAAGUUUGGAGUAAGCAGCCAGCCAAACUGCUAGAGAUUAUUUUUGCAGUGAUAACUUCUUUCCUUUGGAGUGCUGGGAAUUAACUGUCUUCCAAAUUAAUUUUCAUUAAGUUUGGUGGGGUCUAAGGAAUUUAGCAAUCCUGCCUAGAUAAUAUUGCCCCACUUUUAUAUUCAAACAAUGGAAUCAGAAACAGAAUAACUGACUCUAAUCCUUCCUGCCUCUCUUUGAUUUUCUAUAUUUAUUUAUUUAUUGUGUAACAUCAUUGGGUCUGGCUCCCUUAAACCCCCCCAAAAAAAACCCAAACCCAAAACCAUCAGGAGUGCAACAGAGGCAAGAGCAGGGCAUCUCCUUCCCUCCAGCUGGACAAACAUUUGCAAGAGAAGGGGUGGGUGAGAGAAAAACCAAAACAAACAACAAACCACCAAACCCCAAACAAACCAACAGUUCUAGUUGUAUGCAAAACUGUUUCAUUUCUUUAGAACCCUGUUCAAAUCAAGACUUCAAUUUCUGAGGAGGGAAUCCUUAGAUCCCAGACCUUUCCCUUCUCUCCUCUUGCAAAGCAAUGCUAUUUUUGUGGCCUAGAACAGUACUUUAGAAACAGCAGUUAUUAAAGACACAGUUGUGAUAUAUCCUUUAACUCCCCCUCACCCAAAAAGGGGUAUCCUGUGAAGUGAUCCAGUAGAAAUCUUGAAGUUUCUUUACGAUAAAUCCAUAAAAUGAGGAAUACCUUCUGUCACAUUCCCAACAAGAAUAAUAAUCCCAACAAGAAUAAUAGCCACACUCUGUGGUGCAUUUGUUCAAGUGUCUAUUGCUCCUUCUAGUGGAGAUUCUGCACAGCUCCACCUCCACGUCAGUUCUGGUCCUACCAAGCAAGAGCAGAGAUUUUUCUCCUUUCUCUUCAGGUGGUCUCUGGUUAACAAACAGCAGAAGCACUGAGGGUCAUAAUCCCCAGGACAGGAACAGGCCAGUAAUGUCUGAAGAAACACCAGUUGUCUUUUUUCCUCAGGUGUGGCAGAUUUCUGCCAAGAGCAGUUUUUGUGUCCUGUUGGUAUCACUGGCACCUACACCUCUGUGGAGAAGAGAAUGCUUUGCCUCUUGCUGUCUGGGGUAGGGAUAGUCUCUAGCUGCAGGAAGUACAGAAGAACUUGAACCUGGAAAGAGAAAGGAAAAGGUAACAAUAAAGCUCUGAUAACUCAUUCUCAUCCUACCGAUUGGAGAGCUGGCAGACAUGCCUACAGCUCUCUCCACAGGAACAAUCUUGAAGUUGUGUAUUUGUUUUAAUACAGUGUAUAAUAGCAGGAAUAUGAAAACUUGCAGCGCUCCAGAGACACUCUUUUCAGCUUCCAGGGUAUAGCAGUGAUGCUGGAGUUCCACUGCGCUGAAAAAUUCUGAUCUAUAAUUUGCCAUUACUCAGUCAAGAACGUUCCAGCCAGCACGACCACCUAACACAGCCCCUAUGGUCAAAUUCUCUGCAUCGCCUUCAGAAGGCAUCAGUGGCCCGAGAAAUCUGAACUUAGCGAAGCAUUUUGUUAGACAUCAGUGAAGGUGGCUUAAGUGUUGAGGAGCAUCACAGGAAAACACUAAUGGUUCUUUUAUCCCAGGCUGGCAAUAUGGCGCUGUGAGACAGCCCUCAAAACAUCUUGCUAUGCGCAAACAUGAAACAUGCAGGAUUGCACGCAUACCGACAUCUUCUCAUGAAAAGCUGUGUUAGUACAGAUGCAAACUGAACUGCCUGAAGAUAAACAGUUCUACAAACAGUCUAAAAUGUCUGUGGAACGGUGAAAGUUGUUUAUGUUUCUCAAGUCGUGAAAACACAGAAGGAUGGCUGAACCAGCCUUGCUAGGGAACUGCAGCUUCCCAGAUACUCUCUUCAAAAGAUUCAACAGCACAUUCAGCAUUUUACCUGGGACAUGACUUCUAGUGACCAACUAUCGGUCAUUGUGAUGGGCUGGGUUGGGUUAGCAGGGAUUUUACUGUCCUUCUCUGAAGGUCUGAGCAGCGUUGGUCCAAAGACAGUUGCGAGAUUAUGCAGGGACAUCUUGUUAAUGCUUUCCCUCUCAGCAACCCUAGGAGAAGAAACAAGAACAAGGCACAUCUUUAUAAAUAUCUGUGUUUGGAAGCGUCCUUAAGUAAGAAACCAUAUUUAUUCAUUUUGUAAAAAGUUUUAGAUACAUUCCAUUGACCACUCUCUCCAUACAUGCCUAAAUGAGCUUUUUAUAUAAGCAACACCUUGACCUGACAAAACCACAGUCUCCAGGUGCUCUACAGACAUGGCUUAGACUUGGGAAAGGGACUGCUGCUGACUGUCUGGACAGGCAGAGGUGGGACAGGAAUAAAGAAACGUGUUUCAUCCCAGUUUCAUAAAUGAGAAACUGAGACACACAGGUUAAAAAAUUUACCCAAGGGCAGAAAAGUCUGCAGCAGAAACAACAGUAAAUCUCAGAUUUCCUGGAUUUUAAUCCUCAGUCACAAGAUUAUCUUUCAUCUCGCCAGUGACGGUCUCUGGUAUGUACAAACGACGUACGUAAAUUAACACACUGUGCAUGUAUUAAGCUUGUUGCAUUAAUAUCAAACACAUGGAAAUACUUUUUCAGUUACAACCAUAUUUACAAAGACAUAGACAAGAUGAGAAAGACUAGUCUAAGCAAGGAACUGACAACUCCAGUUAGCAGAAUUGCAAAGCUGGAAUUUAAAGAAAAUAUAUAAUGCUAGUUUGUAGACACCUUUUGAGACAGGACACUAGUCCUUAAACAUGGCCAAAGCUUCACAAUCUAUAGUAAAACCUUUCCCGAUCUUUGUAUCCAGAUGCAAGUGCAGUUUUGCAGUGAUACUGCAGCAGGAAUUUGCAUUGGCACUAGAUAAGCCCUGAGACUUUUGUUGCUCCUUUCCUUCAGUUCUAAUCCUUUUGGUAUGAGUGGGAAUGGAAUUUGGGAUUUAGUGCCUCACUAAGUGAGUAUGAGACAAUAAUUAUCUGAUGAACAUUCACAGCAAAUUCUUCUCCGUCUGUGUGAUUCAGCAGAAUUCGAGGAAAAAGCUCCUCUUUUCAAAACACAUCCAAUCCAUGUCUAAAAGAUGCACAUAUUACCUUUUUAAAUGGUCCAAAAGGAAAAGGAAUGUCACAAGGUUGGGUUCUGGAAGCGAUAACAAUAGGUUCAACAUACAGCUUUCCUUUGCAACAGGAUCUGAAAGUGCUACAAGACAGAAAAUAACAAGGCAUCACCAUAGGCAGUGAAUGAGAAUUUGACUGACUGCAUAAUUUCCCAAACCAACAAAUACAGAUGGUUCUGAACAGACUGUAAUUCCUUCAUAGGCUGGAGGGUCAAUUGCACAUCAAUACCCCACAGCAUCUCUUUCCUUUGUUUCAUAGAUAUGUAUGUCCUUUUCUCUCAAGCAGUUCAAGUGCUUUCAGACCUUCGACCCUUGAUGUUUUUCCCCUGCACAGUGUAUCCUCCCCACCCCACAAAGAGGCCUUCCCUGGACGACUGACAGGGCAAACAGCCGGCACAGCCCACACGAGUAGGUUGUCUUGUGUUCUUAACCUGUCCUUCAGAAAUCUGGACAUUUUUGGCUUAUAAAAAGGUAUGUUCAUUGCCCAUAUUAAAGCUCAGAGGAAGAAUAUGUCAUUCCAGGGCUCAUUUCUGAGCUCCGCUUCCCUAGCAGCUUGUUCCAGGCUUCUGUCCAACGUUAUAAAUAUGUUAUUUGUAUUGCUUUAGGAGCAGCCUCCUGCAGAACAGCAUCUUUAACCCAGACCUGGUUAUCAAGGGUUACUUCUGCUACUACCUACCAAUGCCCUCAGCAAAGUUGGGGUACAGCUCAUCUGUAAAGAGGGGUUCAGGCAGCUCUCGGAAGUACAGCUUCAAGGUGCCCGCGAUGGCGUUGACAUCCAUCUCGCUCAUCAUCACUGACACGUCUUUAUUGUCUGAGAGAGGGAAGAGGGGAAGCCGGGUAAAGCAGCUGCUGGCCUUGCAUUCAUCCUUUUUCUUGCUUUGGCUCUUUGUUUAUCCUUUGACCAAAUAGCUCAGAGUUUUCCUGUUUACGUUUCCCCAGAUUAAAUGAGCCACCUCCUGACAACUGUAAAGUGCUGCACAAAUGACUGCAAACAGUUUGUAGCUUUAAAUCAAGCGGAAGCAACCUCACUACCCAGGGUUAGUUAUGCUGUGCCAACAACCUCAGCCAGAUCUGGAACAAGCCCUGUUUGACUGUAUUUAUCUGCAUUUCAACUUUUGUUGGUGACAACAAUUGUUAUUCUAAUUCCCUGCCUCUAACAGCCGAGAAUAACAGGCUGAGGCUGUCUAACUCCUCACUGAAUGCAGCUAAAGUACACAGGCAAUUCAGGGCUCACAUUUCAGUGUUGUUACUAUUGAGAACAACAAAACCACCCCCUUUUCCUAAAACAAACAGACCAACUGGCAGAGCCAGUGCUGCUUUCAUGAUGCUUAGUGUAAAACAGCAUUUAACACACAGAAGAAAAGUUGUUUUUUAAAACACCGUUACUGGCACUAGUGAAGAUUCACAAAUCUAUUUGUUUGGUAACUUAGGGGAAUGAAAAUAAAAUACAAGGAAGAAGAAAUUUCACAAAAUAAGUGAAUGAAAAGUGCAGGGCGGGUGAAUUUGGGCACCUGGUGCAGACCUCGUGACUGCCUGCAUCAAAAGACACCUCAAGUGUGGCUUGGACAGUUCUUGGACCAUCAUGUGGAGCUGGAAGUAGGGCAGAAUUUCACUUUGUGUACCUCAGCAAUUUGGAGGUGUUCAUCUGCCUGAUCUUGGAUGCCUUUUGGGACAUCCAUGCCAUUCUUUUAAAUGCAGAACCAGUAAGGAGCCCUUUUCUGCUCAAGAUCAAAGAAAGCUUUACAAAGCUGCUCAAAACCAUCUAAUUUUAUGAUCUGCACACAGAGUUAAGACGAGAGCUCAGGAGCCCUGACCACCCAACUGCAGUUUUGUAAAAACCCUUCCUAGCCAACCUUAGACAUUUUUUUUUUGCUGGCUUCCUUUUACAAAACAUUCUCGAUUUCAAGGACUUCUAUUAAUUCAGAGGCCUCACAACAGCGAGGAAAUUAAGGCUUCUGAUUGCUGCUGCUUCCCCUGAGGAAGGUGUCUGCCACUUGCAAAGGUUUGGCAAGGCAGGUAAACCCACCAUUUCCUGACUGCUGGGAAGAACAACAAAUACACAAUUUGCUAUAAGGAUCCAUCCUGUUGUAUAUCUUGGGUUAUAUCUGCGGUUGAAGAAUAUUAAUAAAACAUGCAGCCAGGGUUAAAAUGAUUCUCCUUGUGAGAGAAUCUCUCACUCCUAGUGCUUCUGGAGGAACAUGAGGUUAAAAAUAGCAUAGCCACCUGACAGGGAGCUCCUGCAGGUUCUCCCAGUGCAAAAGAAAACAUCAGACACAAUUACUUACUGACAUCAAAGGCAGCUUUCAAAGCCUGGAUAUCGGUUGCAACCCCAGAGACACGGUAGAUGCCCACCUCCUCCAUGCCACGCCGCUCUAUCUCCUCCACGCACUGGCGCACUAUGUAAGGCACCUUCGAUCUCUCUCUCCUUAAAAAAGCCAGACAGAAAAGUUCAGUACAGCCUGCGCCCUCAGUGCUCGUUGCCCCAGCCGGGCUGGUUAAAAUCACCCCAUCAUUUUGCUGUGCAAACCUCUUGUGGAGAAUGGGUGGAAGGAAGCCUGAGCAGGGAGUUGAGACUGAGCUAUGAAAUUCCUUUAAACACCAGAGAGGCUUUUCUGAGUGUCUCAGCCUGGCUCUGGCUGCGCUGCCACUGCCCUGAGCACUUGGGCUUCUGGCUAGAUCUCAGUGCCCUCAGAGCCUGCGACUUUGCACAGGUAAUCAGUGCAUUCCCAAACAGAACUUGGAAACAUGGCAACACCAUUGCUUUCCAAAUAAUGCAAUUCCAUAGGGAGGAAAUAACACAAUUCCCAAACUAUAUAACGGAACAAACAGGUUUCUUCUGGCAAAGGAUUCAUGACAAAAGAUCAUGGGUUAAAAUAAUGCUUACAGGAUCCAAAGAAUUUGGACGUUUCCGAUUAUGGAAAGGAAACAUCACAGCUGAGUGGGUCUGGAAAUUUGUGACCAAGUCAGCUAAUUAGAGAGUGAAGGGGCAAGGGGGAUUUCCGGACCUCAGAGAGUGUUCUGCUGUAGGUAAACACCCUGGCUUUCAAAGCCUGUGUGCAUGCUGUUUUUUUUCCUACAAGAAAAUGAAGCUUGGAGAAUGUACAGCAGCCACAGCCGUCUACGCUGCUACCCAAGGGCAGCAGACGGGACUGACAGAUCUCUCAGCGUGGUAAAACCCAGGCACAACCCUCUGGCCAGCUGACUUUCUGAAAAACAACAGCGAGAACAGUGACCCAUCAGCUUACUUAGUGACAAUAGCGAUCUUGACCCCAAACACCCCAGUCUGUUUCCGGGACGGCAUCCUUUUCAGGCUAAACUCCCGACUGGUAAACUUCACUGAGAGCUUCACUUCAACCUGAAUGAAAAAUAAAGGAGGACAGCUGUUAC